AGUGAACGCUGGCGGUAGGCCUAACACAUGCAAGUCGAACGGCAGCACAGUAAGAGCUUGCUCUUACGGGUGGCGAGUGGCGGACGGGUGAGGAAUACAUCGGAAUCUACUUUUUCGUGGGGGAUAACGUAGGGAAACUUACGCUAAUACCGCAUACGACCUACGGGUGAAAGCAGGGGAUCUUCGGACCUUGCGCGAUUGAAUGAGCCGAUGUCGGAUUAGCUAGUUGGCGGGGUAAAGGCCCACCAAGGCGACGAUCCGUAGCUGGUCUGAGAGGAUGAUCAGCCACACUGGAACUGAGACACGGUCCAGACUCCUACGGGAGGCAGCAGUGGGGCAUAUUGGACCAUGGGCGCAAGCCUGAUACAGCCAUACCGCGUGAGUGAUGAAGGCCUUCGGGUUGUAAAGCCCUUUUGUUGGGAAAGAAAAGCAGCAGGUUAAUACCCCGCUGUUCUGACGGUACCCAAAGAAUAAGCACCGGCUAACUUCGUG
rnacentral:rRNA from 1 species